AAUCAACGCUGGCGGCGUGCCUCAGACAUGCAAGUCGAACGCGAAAGUUUCCUUCGGGAAGCGAGUAGAGUGGCGUCCGGGUGAGUAACACGUAGGUAAUCUACCUUUGGGUGGGGAAUAACAACCGGAAACGGUUGCUAAUACCGCAUAAUGCAGCGGCACCACAUGGUGACAGUUGUUAAAGCGGGGGAUCGCAAGACC
rnacentral:rRNA from 1 species